UUGCCAGCCGCCGCGGUAUAACCGAGCCGCAAGGGGUAGUCACGUUUAUUGGGCCUAAAGCGUCCGUAGCCGGCUUGAUAAGUCUCUGGUGAAAUUUGAGAAUAGCGGAGCUAUUCUAAAUUUGCUGUUCUCGAACACCAAAUUCUACAGAAAACUGUGGAAACGGCUGGAGAUACUAUCAGGCUUGGGACCGGGAGAGGCCGAAGGUACGUCAUGGGUAAG
rnacentral:rRNA from 1 species